rnacentral:misc_RNA from 1 species
AACGCACGAGACCUGCGGACCUGCGGAAGGAUCAUUAUAGAGUGGUAAACCCCCCGUAAAAGGGGGGGACCUCCUGUCCUUUGUAGGCUCUUUUUUAAAAGGGCUUUUUUUAAUUUUCUGCUUCGGUGGGGUUAUCCCACCGGAACAACCUCAAAACUCUUAUCAAAAAAUCGUUCUGUCUGAGAACCUUUUAUAAUAAAAAAAAACUUUCAACAACGGAUCUCUAGAUCGGAAGAGCAC